rnacentral:tRNA from 1 species
GGGCCUAUAGCUCAACGGUAGAGCCACCGGCUCAUAACCGGUAGGUUCCAGGUUCAAAUCCUGGUGGGCCCACCA